rnacentral:rRNA from 1 species
GAUGAACGCUGGCGGCGUGCCUAAUACAUGCAAGUCGAGCGAACAGACGAGGAUCUUGCUCCUCUGACGUUAGCGGCGGACGGGUGAGUAACACGUGGAUAACCUACCUAUAAGACUGGGAUAACUUCGGGAAACCGGAGCUAAUACCGGAUAAUAUAUUGAACCGCAUGGUUCAAUAGUGAAUGACGGUUUUUCUGUCACUUAUAGAUGGAUCCGCGCUGCAUUAGCUAGUUGGUAAGGUAACGGCUUACCAAGGCAACGAUGCGUAGCCGACCUGAGAGGGUGAUCGGCCACACGGGAAGGGAGACACGGUCCAGACUCCUACGGGAGGCAGCAGUAGGGAAUCGUCCGCAAUGGGCGAAAGCCUGACGGAGCAACGCCGAGUGAGUGAUGAAGGUCUUCGGAUAGUAAAACUCUGUUAUUAGGGAAGAACAAAUGUGUAAGUAACUAUGCACGUAUUGACGGUACCUAAUCAGAAAGCCACGGCUAACUACGUG